UACGUAGGGUGCGAGCGUUAAUCGGAAUUACUGGGCGUAAAGUGUGCGCAGGCGGCAGAGCAAGUCGAGUGUGAAAGCCCCGGGCUUAACUUGGGAAUUGCGCUCGAAACUACUUUGCUGGAGUGUGGCAGAGGAAGGUGGAAUUCCACGUGUAGCGGUGAAAUGCGUAGAGAUGUGGAGGAACACCAAUGGCGAAGGCAGCCUUCUGGGCCAACACUGACGCUCAUGCACGAAAGCCAGGGGAGCGAACGGG
rnacentral:rRNA from 1 species